rnacentral:rRNA from 1 species
AUUGAACGCUGGCGGCAGGCUUAACACAUGCAAGUCGAGCGGAGAUGAGGUGCUUGCACCUUAUCUUAGCGGCGGACGGGUGAGUAAUGCUUAGGAAUCUGCCUAUUAGUGGGGGACAACAUUCCGAAAGGAAUGCUAAUACCGCAUACGCCCUACGGGGGAAAGCAGGGGAUCUUCGGACCUUGCGCUAAUAGAUGAGCCUAAGUCGGAUUAGCUAGUUGGUGGGGUAAAGGCCUACCAAGGCGACGAUCUGUAGCGGGUCUGAGAGGAUGAUCCGCCACACUGGGACUGAGACAAGGCCCAGACUACUACGGGAGGCAGCAGUGGGGAAUAUUGGACAAUGGGCGGAAGCCUGAUCCAGCCAUGCCGCGUGUGUGAAGAAGGCCUUUUGGUUGUAAAGCACUUUAAGCGAGGAGGAGGCUACCUGGAUUAAUACUCUAGGAUAGUGGACGUUACUCGCAGAAUAAGCACCGGCUAACUUCGUGCCAGCCGCCGCAGUAAGAC